rnacentral:rRNA from 1 species
UACGUAGGGUGCGAGCGUUGUCCGGAAUUAUUGGGCGUAAAGAGCUCGUAGGCGGUGUGUCACGUCGGCCGUGAAAACCUGCAGCUUAACUGUGGGCGUGCGGGCGAUACGGGCAGACUUGAGUACUGCAGGGGAGACUGGAAUUCCUGGUGUAGCGGUGGAAUGCGCAGAUAUCAGGAGGAACACCGGUGGCGAAGGCGGGUCUCUGGGCCGAUACUGACGCUGAGGAGCGAAAGCGUGGGGAGCGAACAGG